GGAUUAGAUACCCUGGUAGUCUACGCUGUAAACGAUGUUCACUAGUUGCUGGGCGCCUUGGUGUGCUCAGUGACAUAGCUAACGCGUUAAGUGAACCGCCUGGGGAGUACGGUCGCAAGAUUAAAACUCAAAGGAAUUGACGGGGACCCGCACAAGCGGUGGAGCAUGUGGUUUAAUUCGAAGCAACGCGCAGAACCUUACCUGGGUUUGACAUGAGAGGAAGUUUCGGUAAUGCGAAAUGUGCCCUUCGGGGAGCCUCUGCACAGGUGCUGCAUGGCUGUCGUCAGCUCGUGUCG
rnacentral:rRNA from 1 species